CCUACGGGAGGCAGCAGUGAGGAAUAUUGGUCAAUGGACGAGAGUCUGAACCAGCCAAGUAGCGUGAAGGAUGACUGCCCUAUGGGUUGUAAACUUCUUUUAUAUGGGAAUAAAAUGUUCCACGUGUGGGAUUUUGUAUGUACCAUAUGAAUAAGGAUCGGCUAACUCCGUGCCAGCAGCCGCGGUAAUACGGAGGAUCCGAGCGUUAUCCGGAUUUAUUGGGUUUAAAGGGAGCGUAGGUGGAUUGAUAAGUCAGUUGUGAAAGUUUGCGGCUCAACCGUAAAAUUGCAGUUGAAACUGGCAGUCUUGAGUACAGUAGAGGUGGGCGGAAUUCGUGGUGUAGCGGUGAAAUGCUUAGAUAUCACGAAGAACUCCGAUUGCGAAGGCAGUUCACUGGACUGCAACUGACACUGAGGCUCGAAAGUGUGGGUAUCAAACAGGAUUAGAUACCCGAGUAGUC
rnacentral:rRNA from 1 species